AUUGAACGCUGGCGGCAGGCCUAACACAUGCAAGUCGAGCGGAUGACGGGAGCUUGCCCCUGGAUUCAGCGGCGGACGGGUGAGUAAUGCCUAGGAAUCUGCCUGGUAGUGGGGGAUAACGUCCGGAAACGGGCGCUAAUACCGCAUACGUCCUGAGGGAGAAAGUGGGGGAUCUUCGGACAUCACGCCAUCAGAUGAGCCUAGGUCGGAUUAGCUAGUUGGUGGGGUAAAGGCCUACCAAGGCGACGAUCCGUAACUGGUCUGAGAGGAUGAGCAGUCACACUGGAACUGAGACACGGUCCAGACUCCUCUGGGAGGCAGCCGUGGGGAAUAUUGGACGAUGGGCUAAAGCCUGUUCCAGCCAGGCCGCGUGUGUGAUGAAGGUCUUCUGAUUGUAAAGCACUUUAAGUUGGGAGGAAGGGCACUAAGUUAAUACCUUGCUGUUUUGACGUUACCAACAGAAUAAGCACCGGCUAACUUCGUG
rnacentral:rRNA from 1 species